UUCUUCCUUUCUGCCUUCUCUAUCGCGAUCUGCUCGUGUAUGUCCUACGAUUAGUUGUUGACUGGUGUGCCGCUCUGGAUCUCGGUUGUAGGCCGGUGAUGACCACUGUCUCGGAUUCCUUCUUCGAGGUCCCCAGAUUUCUUAAUAAGGUGUGUGAUUGAUCGUCCGAGUUACUCUGGAUGUGGCUGGUGCUCGCGGUAGCGGCAGAGUGGCGUGCGUGAGCGCGGCGUAGGCAACGGCCAAAGCCGCGUCAGUCUUUGUGAGCACGCCGUCCAGGCGACACAUCAAGUUCGACAGUGUUCCCUCCAAACUCCUAAGGUAUGUGGCCAGUGAAGAUCCAACGUCUUCAUUGCCUACGAGCCUACGGCGGCCGGAGCACAACAUGGCUUGCACCAAAUCUGGCUGCUAGAGAUAGCCCAGUGCUGAAGUCUCGGUUUCAAUUUUGGUCUUAGCAUUUCCCCAUUCUUCAGUAAUUUCCUUGCAAGUGUCGCCGAGGGUGUCGAGUGCGACAGAGAUUACCCACUUCUUCCUAUCCUACUACAUUUGGACAAUGACACUCAGUUCUAGCAAAAACUGCAACCUAACAUAAUGUCACUCAAUGAUGUUCUAUGUCUGUAAGCUUUUGAGCUGUUGUCUUGUACCUUCUUUAAGAGCAGAUACAACUUGUACGAUGAUAUUCCUCUAUGGGUUGUAUAGUUAAGAAUGGAUUCCAUUACUUAUCAUAAUGGAGCAUUAGAAUUGCAGCUGAUUGUUGGUUGAAAAGAAAUUCACUUGCUACGUAGAUUGCAGUUGAGGUGAAGCUCAAUGUGACGGGACCAACUUGGCAUUAAUUUUCUCCAUAAAUUGCAGCUGAGGUGAAGCCAUGGUUUACUUUCCAUUAGUGAAAUGAAAGAAAGAAAAGAAAAAAAAACAUGCGGCAUAUUUGUUUGUCCACAUCACGUGAUCCUCACCAUGUUCGUUUGUUAAGAGAAACAGAACACCAUGCCACUGUAAUGUUUCAAAUAUUCUAUGGUUUACUUAUUUAUUUUAGAAAAAAAAUGUAUUUCAGCAUGUUGUUUGAUGAUCACCCUUUUUUAGAUCGUUAUUAUCCUAUUUUAAAUAAAUACAUCAGAGUUGUGUUUAAAUGUGCAUUACUUUUUCUUUAUGUAACCUCUAUUCAGUUCUACUUUAAUUUGUUGCAAUGCAGGGGACAGAGUGCAUCUUGCAAGAACUUAAUCUAUUUCUUUGCACGAAGCUUCCGGCCGGAAGCCCCACUUUACAUUUUGCAAAGGAUGUGACUCGCAGUACAGCAACACUGUUUCAGUGACCUCUCCUGCUUACAUUGAUCGCCAAUGUCUUUGCCGUAUGUGCCAUCUUGCUGCUAUCUGAUCAGUGUCAUCACCACGCCGACGCUUGCCGUUGUUAGAUCUAUCAACAUGCGUCCAUUGCUCCAUUACGUUGAUUUCUUUUUUUCCAAUAUAUGUUGCACAAGGCUCUAGGAGCCAGGAUUCUUAUGACUGAUGUCGUACUACUUAUGCUGGUUUGCGGGCUAUAAUUCUAGAAUUUCUUCUCAAGACAUGAAAUGUUUGAAUUAGCAGAAAGAAUGAGCUAUUGGGUCACAUGUUAAUGAGUUAUGCAUUAA